AUCAUGGGCUGAUACUGGCCGACUCCCACCUCCUGUCCUGUGCUUUGGGACAUCGUUGGCAACCAGAGGAGACAAAACGCUCAAACUGCAUUGAUGGUGGCCACAUACGUCUGGACGUCCGAGCAGCUGUAUUUUCACUAGAAAUUACUAAGUGCAACAAACAUCUGUGAAAUUUCACAACUCAGAUACAUCAUCAGGAUCCACUGCCAACAUCCUGGUGUCAGACGCUACAGGGAACCCCAAGAAGUCACCUGUCGAUGCCCCAACAGACACCGAGCUGUGAACGCCACGAGGUGGAUUCUGCUAACGGCUAACUGUGAGUUUGCUGACCGGAGAUCAACGCCGCUGCGGGGAUUUCGUGGGCUGCUUCCUGUGAUCAUCGUAGGUUUUCUACUCUGCACCUGGACUACGGCGAACAGCUGGAGAUCGAC
ensembl:lncRNA